rnacentral:tRNA from 1 species
GGCCCUAUCGUCUAACGGCCAGGACAUCGCCCUUUCACGGCGAAAAUCGGGGUUCGAUUCCCCGUAGGGUCA